rnacentral:rRNA from 1 species
UACAGAGGUCUCAAGCGUUGUUCGGAUUCAUUGGGCGUAAAGGGUGCGUAGGUGGCGCGCUAAGUCAGGUGUGAAAUUUCGGAGCUUAACUCCGAAACUGCAUUUGAUACUGGCGUGCUUGAGGACUGGAGAGGAGACUGGAAUUCAUGGUGUAGCAGUGAAAUGCGUAGAGAUCAUGAGGAAGACCAGUGGCGAAGGCGGGUCUCUGGACAGUUCCUGACGCUGAGGAGCGAAAGCAUGGGGAGCAAACAGG